rnacentral:lncRNA from 1 species
GGAAGAAAAAAUUAUGAACUAAAUUUAUCAAUUUCUGUAGAUUAUGCAAACAUACACCAUAAAUUGAACUGUGAGCCUCAGCCCCAAUUUUUGCACUCAAUCUGGCCAUUAUCCUCCACCUUCAUGUCAUCAUGACCAUGCAAUGACAUUGAUACCAUCAACAAUUCCUAAUGAAUCUUUCAAGACCAAAAUAUCAUCAUCUUCAAGUUUCAAUAACUUCAACUCUAGCAAAAUACUCAUUAGCAUAUAUACUUGCAAUCUUCAUCUCAGCAGACUGGUUACAAUUGUUUCCCCCCUAGUCCAGCACUCACCCCAGCUUUUGCCAAAACAAAAUAAAUAAAUUAGCCCAAGUUUCUAGAUGAUUUUGUAACAAUUUACUCGACACAUUUACAGGAUCUCAUAUCUAUUAACAAUACCUUAAAAAUCAUAAUCCACAGGUAAUCUUGUAAUUUUGGAAUUCCACGUACAUCAAAUAACACGAGAUUCACAAUGCCAUACUAAUGAAGAAGCAGAAUAUAAUUUGUGAGGCCUUCCAUAUUCAACCACCCCUUUAAAUUUGAAG